UGAUUCUAUGAAGAUAGAGAUGUUUCCAAGAGAUGUGACCCUACCCAAAAUAAAUGGUGUAACAGAAGCAGGAAGGGGGAGCUGUGCAGCGUAGGACAGCAAGAUGAGAUGGUUAGUCAUCCCGUUUGCAGAUUUCUUGAACAUCCUUCAGAGCAGGAAUGGUGUCCAGGAGGCGAGCAAAUGGUUGAGAUCCCAGAGAUUUACUUGGGGUGAUUUUUUGGUUAUUUUAAAGCUAGUCUCUAAUCAAAGCUGUUUGGUCAUUCUACAGUCAAGACAGGGUAAAUCCACCAGUUUAAGAGAGGUUGGAUGAACCACAUUGUGAGGAAACGUGUCUCCAGUGGUUGUAGAGUGGUGAAACCUGAGCAGAGUCCCAUGUGUCUUUCUUGACUGGAGGCCUAGUUUAUAACUUGCUAAUGUUAGGCUUGAUGAAUCCUACCUCUAUUUUGUAUUCUUGGCUCUGCCUACAACUUGGUAGAGGAUCAUAUGACUGUUUCAUGUAACAUCUAUUACACAACAGUGCAGGAGAGGAAAGUGCCUUGUUUCAUCAAGGAGCAAAGUAGGAGUGGUAUCUACUACAUAUACUUAAAGGCAGGCAUGUACUGAUUUCCAUUGUGGGAAUAUCAGGCUGGAGUGCUUUGAGAUUCAUCAGUGUGGGAUGCUGGAUAACUUCAAUGUAUUACUCUUACAGCAUUAUAUGUAUACUAACUCACCCUGCCUGACCUAAAGCACUCCUUGCUAAGUAGGACAUCACCUUGAGGAAGAUCUUACAGUUCCAGGGCUUUGUCAGCUCCACAGUGUUAUUUUCUUUAUUUCUUGAUUGACUUUCAGCACCUUGUAAUAUCGGGUCUAGUCUUACAUUAAAAAUGUGCUCUGUUGACAUUUUUUUACCCCAGGUGUGCCUGAAAGAGUUUUUGUGUCCUUUUGAUCGUCAUUUGUAUGUUGGUUUUUUUUCCUUUCCUCGUUCUUCAACAUUACCUGCUGCUCACCCCAGCACUGACUUUAUUCUGGGAGAGGAACUGUGUGUUGACACAUUCUGUCCUGAAGGUGGGGAAAUUCGCAGUGUACGAUUCCAAGUACACAGCCCAUUACUGUGUAUUACAGAGAACUUUCCUCCUCUGCGCUGUGAAAACUUGUUCUACCAGUUUAAAAAUGUCAGAUGGGGAAACUGAGUCAUGGAGAGAAAAGUUCACCACUUAAGGAGGAUGGAAAGGGUGAUACUGUGAUCCUGGUGGGCUGAACUCUGGCUGGGACACCUUUCCUCUGGAUUGCUACCUAUUCCUGAAAAUCUGAGGCAUGAAGGCAUAACUGUCACACUCUGCUCACCUCUUCUAUCCAGCUUGCUGAUCCAGGAUCCUGGAAGGUCUUUUGGAAUCCCUUGUUCUCUCCAGGACCUCUUACCUAUCUACACAAACUCAUUUGGAUCUAUAAAUAAAUUUCCCUAGGGAAGCCAGACUAGCCAGGCUUUCGCAAACUGUGCUCCGCUGAAUGGUCCAGGUCCCAAAACACAUCUGUAUAUCUUACAGGUGUAUUUCUUAAAGCAGAACAGGGUCUCCUCUUGCUUCCAAGAUCUUCCUAGGGACUGGUACCAAGCCACCUGUCUUGAAAACUGGAUUGCAACUGGUCCUCCAACGUAAUCAGUGAGGAUGCAAAGACUCUUGGGUCUUCAAGGAAAGGGAGAAGAGACUUUAGACCCACGACUUGCAUGACUUCAAAAGCACUUUCUCACACAUGCUGUUCAGAGAGCAGCCUCAUUAAACCAUUCCCUGAGGGAUAAUGUGGAGAAAACCAAGGAACUGGCCAAUCACAUUAACCAGGAAUUGCUUCAAGAUGCGAUCUGAUAUUGCCCUCUGCUGACAGUUUGCUACAUAGUGCCGUCGGUUUAAAAUGAAGUAUGUUGUGUAGUAAGGCAACAAGGAUUUCUGAAGAUCUGUAGUAAAUCUCCAUCAGACAGAGAUUUUCGGGGUUUAUUGCUUGAUUUUUUUAGUGUCCUUUCUCAAUGUUGUAACUUAUAUGCUACAUAUCAAGCAUUCCACAUCAGAGAUGAGCCCAGUCUAAGCUGUUGUGCAAGGGACUGAGUGUACACAUAGCGAGAGCCAGUUUUCCCCUGGGGGGUCCUGUGGUCUACAGACACAAGACAGAUAAAGGACAGUGAAAAAAAGGCAGCAAUCAGCUCCAUUUCACAUAUAGGCUACUGAGCUACUGAAGGAUCUAGCUGAGCCCACAAAAGGCAGCUCUAUUGCCCUGCCUGGAAGCUGUAGUCAGAUGAAUUCAAACCAAAAAUAAGCUGCAAGUUCUGACUGCAAGAGAAAUGGAUCACACUGUUGGCACCUUCUUCUCCUUCUUCUUUUUCUUCACAAGAAGCAUCACUCUGUGUCUACACUGAGACUGAUUUGGGGCCAGGAAGUGGAGAAGAGCAGAGCAGAUUUGAAGACAACACAAACAUUUGUCAUACCCAUGAAGAAGACUGAAAGACCACGAGCCUAGAGAAGCAGUGUCCUCAAAGAUCUGAACUCAAGUUGUCCAGAGCUCCAUACUUCCUCAGCUUCCAUGGAUUUGAACUGUGAAGGAGCUUGGUCUUUUACAGGGAAAGCCAAGGAUAAGUUUCAGUGGAUCUUGAGAAGCAGACAACAGAAGAGUAACAGUAUGUGCACAUGUGCAGACAAACAAGUACAAAGUACCCUUGUGGCUGCAAAAACUCAAAGUCAAUACCUUCUCUGACACACACACACUCCCCAGCCUGGUACUUCUGACUGUGUAUUUGAAAAGCUUCUGGACAUGUGAUAUUCUCAACUGUCCCCAGCUUGUAUGUGGCAAGUUCUUAGUUCUCAGAUACUGCAUUAUAUAGUAUGGCAAACACAGCUGUAUGCAUGGGGAAACAGAGGGGGAGCAGCUGAGAUCUGCUCAAGAUUAACUGUCAUAGAGGAGAUGUAGAAGCUGAGGUUCCUGAAAACCAGUCCAGUGUGCUCUGGACCCCUGUCCACAAUGCUGCAGGCAUGUCAUUUGGGUGGGAUCCAUUCCACUGAAGUACUGAAAUCCAGGAAAACACAAUCCCAUUUUGGAAACCCUCAGAAGUACCUUUCUUUCUCUAUUGACCACCACAAAAGCAAAAGUUAAUUGUUCUACUGCACUAGAGCCUCAAUUAAUUUCUCUAUUUCUG